UGGGAAAGACAAAAGGUAGACGACCAGAUUCCCAUUAUUUGCUCUCCACCAUUUGCUUUUAUGCUACAAGUGGACAACCAGGCAAACCCUAAUCCAACAAAUCAAAUCAUGUAUAUAUAAAAGAAGAAGAAGAAGAAGAAGAAGAAGAUGGAUCCUCCUCAUCCAUUGAUGGAAGGCCAUGUGGAAGCUGGCAAGGCCAUCCUCCAUCUUACAGCACUCUUUUCGUUUUACAGGCUCCCUAUUUCCAUGAGAGAAUAUAAUGUGGUAGGUUUAUCCCAUGAUUAAAAGAUUAUCUCCUUGUGCAGAUCGAUCAUGCUAGGACUAGUGCAGGCAUGGGACAAAAAUGGUUGCAGAAAUUAAUAACAAAGUUCUCUUGGCUUUUUUAUUCUUUUUUUUAAUGUAUGUAUUCAGGAAUGUAAUUGCCAUUGGUGUCUUCAACCCUUGUUUAAGAAGAAUCGACAGGCAUUAGCACAGGAAAAUGAGAUCACACAGAAACUUGCAUGUCUUUAAUAUAUAAUAAUUCUAAAGAAUAAUUCAAUAAAGGAAGAAAUUAAGGAGA